rnacentral:rRNA from 1 species
UACGUAGGGGGCAAGCGUUAUCCGGAUUUACUGGGUGUAAAGGGAGCGUAGACGGUGAUGUAAGUCAGAUGUGAAAGCCCAGGGCUCAACCCUGGGACUGCAUUUGAAACUAUGUUACUAGAGUGCAGGAGAGGUAAGUGGAAUUCCUAGUGUAGCGGUGAAAUGCGUAGAUAUUAGGAGGAACACCAGUGGCGAAGGCGGCUUACUGGACUGUAACUGACGUUGAGGCUCGAAAGCGUGGGGAGCAAACAGG